rnacentral:rRNA from 1 species
CCCUUAGAUGUUCUGGGCGGCCCGCGCACUACAAUGGCGUGUGCAGCGAGUGCCGAAGUAGAGUUUUCCGAGGUAUUCUUGCAAUGCUCGUUUUGAUGGGGAUAGACCCUUGCAACUGUUGGUUUUGAACGAGGAAUUCCUUGUAAGCAUGGUUUAUCAUCCGACGCUGAAUGCGUCCCUGCCCUUUGUACACACCGCCCGUCACUCCUACCGAUGAGUCGUCCGGUGAAGUUCGUAGACCUCGUGAUCGCGGAUCACUGGGGAAAGCAAAAUGAACCUCGCGGUUUAGAGGAAGGAGAAGUCGUAACA